rnacentral:tRNA from 1 species
GCGGGAAUAGCCAAGCUUGGUCAAAAGCGAUGGGUUCAGGUCCCAUUCUCGUAGGAGUUCGGGAGUUCAAAUCUCCCUUCCCGCA